rnacentral:rRNA from 1 species
GAAUAGGGAUGGCACACCCUCAAAGCACUAGAUCCCAGCUGACCUCGGAAGCUAAGCAGGGUCUGCCCUGGUUAGUACUUGGAUGGGAGACUGCCAACGAAUCCCAGUUGCUGUAGGCU